rnacentral:rRNA from 1 species
GAUGAACGCUGGCGGCGUGCCUAAUACAUGCAAGUCGAGCGAACGGGCGAGAAGCUUGCUUCUCUGAUGUUAGCGGCGGACGGGUGAGUAACACGUGGAUAACCUACCUAUAAGACUGGGAUAACUUCGGGAAACCGGAGCUAAUACCGGAUAAUAUUUUGAACCGCAUGGUUCAAAAGUGAAAGACGGUCUUGCUGUCACUUAUAGAUGGAUCCGCGGUGCAUUAGCUAGUUGGUAAGGUAACGGCUUACCAAGGCAACGAUGCAUAGCCGACCUGAGAGGGUGAUCGGCCACACUGGAACUGAGACACGGUCCAGACUCCUACGGGAGGCAGCAGUAGGGAAUCUUCCGCAAUGGGCGAAAGCCUGACGGAGCAACGCCGCGUGAGUGAUGAAGGUCUUCGGAUCGUAAAACUCUGUUAUUAGGGAAGAACAUAUGUGUAAGUAACUGUGCACAUCUUGACGGUACCUAAUCAGAAAGCCACGGCUAACUACGUG